rnacentral:rRNA from 1 species
UACGAAUGGAGCAAGCGUUGUUCGGAAUCACUGGGCUUAAAGCGUGCGUAGGCGGUUUUGCAAGUCAGAAGUGAAAGCCUGGGGCUCAACCCCAGAAUUGCUUUUGAAACUGCAAAACUCGAAUAUCGGAGAGGUUGGGAGAAUUCCUAGUGUAGAGGUGAAAUUCGCAGAUAUUAGGAGGAAUACCAGUGGCGUAGGCGCCCAACUGGACGAUUAUUGACGCUGAGGCACGAAAGCGUGGGGAGCAAACAGG